GAUGAACGCUGGCGGCGUGCCUAAUACAUGCAAGUCGAGCGAACAGACGAGGAGCUUGCUCCUCUGACGUUAGCGGCGGACGGGUGAGUAACACGUGGAUAACCUACCUAUAAGACUGGGAUAACUUCGGGAAACCGGAGCUAAUACCGGAUAAUAUAUUGAACCGCAUGGUGCAAUAGUGAAAGACGGUUUUGCUGUAACUUAUAGAUGGAUCCGCGCCGCAUGAGCUAGUUGGUAAGGUAACGGCUUACCAAGGCGACGAUGCGUAGCCGACCUGAGAGGGUGGUCGGCCACCCUGGAACUGGGACACCGUCCAUGCUCCUACGGGAGGCAGCAGUAGGGAAUCUUCCGCAAUGGGCGAAAGCCUGACGCAGCGACGCCGCGUGAGUGAUGAAGGUCUUCCGAUCGUAAAGCUCUGUUAUUAGGGAAGAACAAAUUUGUAAGUAACUAUGCACGUCUUGACGGUACCUAAUCAGAAAGCCCCGGCUAACUACGUG
rnacentral:rRNA from 1 species